rnacentral:rRNA from 1 species
UGUUGGUGAGGUAACGGCUUACCAAGGCCACGAUCAGUAGCUGGUUUGAGAGAACGAUCAGCCACACUGGGACUGAGACACGGCCCAGACUCCUCCGGGAGGCAGCAGUGAGGAAUUUUCCGCAAUGGGCGAAAGCCUGACGGAGCAAUACCGCGUGAGGGAUGAAGGAUUUUGGUCUGUAAACCUCUUUUCUCAAGAAAGAAGUUCUGACGGUACUUGAGGAAUAAGCAUCGGCUAACUCCGUGCCAGCAGCCGCGGUAAUACGGGGGAUGCAAGCGUUAUCCGGAAUCAUUGGGCGUAAAGCGCCUGUAGGUUGUUUAGUAAGUCUGUUGUUAAAGACCAGGGCUUAACCCUGGGAAAGCAAUGGAAACUACUAGACUUGAGUAUGGCAGGGGUAGAGGGAAUUUCUAGUGUAGCGGUGAAAUGCGUAGAUAUUAGAAAGAACACCGGCGGCGAAAGCGCUCUACUGGACCAUUACUGACACUCAGAGGCGAAAGCUAGGGGAGCAAAAGGGAUUAGAUACCCCUGUAGUCCUAGCCGUAAACGAUGGAUACUAGAUGUUGCGCAAUUUGUGCAGUAUCUUAGCUAACGCGUUAAGUAUCCCGCCUGGGGAGUACGCUCGCAAGGGUGAAACUCAAAGGAAUUGACGGGGGCCCGCACAAGCGGUGGAGCAUGUGGUUUAAUUCGAUGCAACGCGAAGAACCUUACCAGGGCUUGACAUACUACAAAUCUUUUCGAAACGAAAGAGUGCCUUCGGGAAUGUAGAUACAGGUGGUGCAUGGCUGUCGUCAGCUCGUGUCGUGAGAUGUUGGGUUAAGUCCCGCAACGAGCGCAACCCUCAUUUUUAGUUGCCAAUUUAUUGGGAUUUCUAGAGAGACUGCCGGUGACAAACCGGAGGAAGGUGAGGAUGACGUCAAGUCAGCAUGCCCCUUAUGCCCUGGGCCACACACGUGCUACAAUGGCGAAGACAAAGAGUCGCAAACCUGCGAAGGCUAGCUAAUCUCGUAAACUUCGUCUAAGUUCGGAUUGCAAGCUGCAACUCGCCUGCAUGAAGUUGGAAUCGCUAGUAAUCGCUGGUCAGCUAUACAGCGGUGAAUUCGUUCCCGGGCCUUGUACACACCGCCCGUCACACCAUGGGAGCUGGUCAUACCCAAUAUCGUUAGCCUAA